ACGGUCUCCUGUGUGAAGCACUGCAGCACUCUCAGAAAGAGUCCAGGCUGGGCUCAGCUUCAUGCCCCGAGGUCAUGAGUCAUUCUGGAGAUGGCGGUUUGCAUGUGAAAGGAGCCGUGUGUAAUUUCGGAUUUCGUAGAAGGGAGUCAUCUCCCUUUUACCUCCUCGCCAAUUUCCUGCAUCGUGCCUCGGGCUGCAGCCUUCAGAGUCUGCCUUUCCCCAUCCCGUGCUGGAGUGACACAGCGAAAGAAGAGCUCUAUCAAACCCUUACCAAGUCCUACCAUGAAAUACAUGCUUCCAAACGCCUGUAGGAUAAUUCCCUUGGGAGGAAGAGCUCAGCUUCUCAUGUGCAGCAACGGUGCCAUCUACAGCCCGAGCGAGGCCACAACAACCUCACCGAGCCACUGGAAAGUUUUCAGCUGUUGCUUCUGCCACACGUCUGCUCUUCUAAAAUGCAGCUCUGCCUGAGGACGAAACUUUCAUAUGAUAUUUAAUACUGAUCUUUAGUAGGAUAUAUUUUAUACUUUACCCAUGGAGACAUUCAAUAUUUUCUACCUGUUGCACUGUCUUUAAGGUUCUUCAGUUAUGAACUGAACUCACUAAUAGCUAAAUUGGGUGUUUAGCAGAUGUAUCUAUGGAAACCAUGUGUUAGAGGCAAGAAGCAGAAGAACAUUACAUUUCUGCUGUCACACACACACAAAAGGCACUGCACUGAGUGUAUUUUACAGACUACCAGAAGUCACUGGACCUUUUUAUAAGCCAUAGUUUAGCUGUCAUCUGUACAAUAAAGACAUCUAUACUUGUUAUUUAAAGCAAAAAAACCCAACUCUCCCAGUGCAGCUGGCCCGUUACUGAGAAGCCUCACUUCCUAAGAAUUACAAGUCUGUAACAUCAAAGAAAAAAAAUAUUAAAGUGGAAACAUGUCAAUAAGCAGCCUGAGACAUAAAAUGUCAAUAUAUAAAGUCAACUCAGAAACAAAAUAUACACAUGCAAGCCUAAUGUAGGCAGUAGAGUGGGCAAGGUCUUUCCAAGGGUGCCUGAAAUAAGGACUGGAAAUGCAGUUUGUAAUCUGAUAAUCAGACUUGAUGGAAUAAAAAUUCUGAACCACAGGGCUGCUUCACUUCGUUGUCAAAAUUCAUUGCCUGGUUAUUCUAAUCUGUAUAAAAGAGAUAAGGUCACAAGGAACUCAAGGAGUUGCUUCAGGGAAAGCAAAAGGGAGAAAAAAAAAGGACAGACACUAAGUGAGAAAGCAAAACAAACCAAUGAGAGAAAAAAAAAAAAAAGGAGCAAGGCAAAAGGCAGAAGUCAAAACUCAACCUCCUACUAAACAAAGUUUAGUUGUUAGGAAAAGAGGGAUCUUAAGCAAAGGCAGCUGCAGAGUUCAGUGACACCACGAAGACAAAAAGUUCACAGGGAUGCCAACAAACAGAGCACAGAGCAGCCCUGAUACAAAUUGAGAACUAUAAUUCAGCCUCUUCCCACACACUCCUGUCAGCAGCUUUCUCACCCUGCACAGCCAAAUCUGGGCACUAUCUAAGGUGUCUGGGAAGGACACCUUAAAAAGUAAUUAAGAAUAAAAAUUUUUAAAAACCCUAAACAUGCUGAUCUUUUUCUUAUACAAGUAGAAAGAAUAUUUAAGGAUAUUUUUUUUCCCCCUCCAGUGUGAUGGAUCUCUAAGUCAGUGCACUUCUGCUUUAUUAAGUCAGUCAAGAAUUUAUUUGUCAACACUGGAAAAUACAGUUCAACCCUGACUAAUUUCUGCUUGAGCAAACUGUUGAAGCAGAAAAUGAAAUUAAAAGACUGCACCUGUCAUACCAUAGGAGAACUAUCCCUGAUCUUGCAACAGUUCUAUAUCCAUACAUUAGAAUACUUAUCAAGAUGGCAUAAAUGCAAAUAGCAAGGAUGUGUAUUUCAGUUGGGAAAAUGAAAUGGAUUUACAAAUCAGAUGCCAGAGCACUGAAAAAGCCUAAAAGCUUUCUCAUGACUUUCCAAGAUGAAACAAGAGAUUUGUGGAGACCAUGCCAUAAAUUUUAAAUCAUUUAAUUAAGGCUUUGCUCAGGAGCAUGGGGAAAGAUGGUAUAAGAUCAUAAAAUUUAAGAAAGCACGGAAAAGAUGAGAGAUAGAGAAAAAAAGGACCAUA